rnacentral:rRNA from 1 species
GGCAUCAAAGUAGUAGGACUACCCGCUGAACUUAAGCAUAUCAAUAAGCGGAGGAAAAGAAACUAACAAGGAUUCCCCUAGUAACUGCGAGUGAAGCGGGAAAAGCUCAAAUUUAAAAGCCUUCGGGCGUUGUAAUCUAAAGAAGUGUUUUCGGUCGUUGCCUCGGAUAAGUCUCUUGGAACAGAGUGUCAAAGAGGGUGAGAAUCCCGUUCUUGCCGAGCUACCAACGUCUAUGUGAUACACUUUCAAAGAGUCGAGUUGUUUGGGAAUGCAGCUCAAAAUGGGUGGUAAACUCCAUCUAAAGCUAAAUAUUGGCGAGAGACCGAUAGCGAACAAGUACCGUGAGGGAAAGAUGAAAAGCACUUUGGAAAGAGAGUUAAACAGUACGUGAAAUUGUUAAAAGGGAAACGCUUGGAGUCAG